UACGUAGGGGGCGAGCGUUAUCCGGAAUUAUUGGGCGUAAAGAGUACGUAGGUGGUUUCUUAAGCGAGGGGUUUAAGGCAAUGGCUUAACCAUUGUUCGCCCCCCGAACUGGGAGACUUGAGUGCUGGAGAGGAAAGCGGAAUUCCUAGUGUAGCGGUGAAAUGCGUAGAUAUUAGGAGGAACACCAGUGGCGAAGGCGGCUUUCUGGACAGUAACUGACACUGAGGUACGAAAGUGUGGGGAGCAAACAGGAUUAGAUACCCGCGUAGUCCCUGAGCGGGCUGGCAA
rnacentral:rRNA from 1 species